CGGCGUGCUUAACACAUGCAAGUCGAACGGAAAGGCCCUGCUUUUGUGGGGUGCUCGAGUGGCGAACGGGUGAGUAACACGUGAGUAACCUGCCCUUGACUUUGGGAUAACUUCAGGAAACUGGGGCUAAUACCGGAUAGGAGCUCCUGCUGCAUGGUGGGGGUUGGAAAGUUUCGGCGGUUGGGGAUGGACUCGCGGCUUAUCAGCUUGUUGGUGGGGUAGUGGCUUACCAAGGCUUUGACGGGUAGCCGGCCUGAGAGGGUGACCGGCCACAUUGGGACUGAGAUACGGCCCAGACUCCUACGGGAGGCAGCAGUGGGGAAUAUUGCACAAUGGGCGGAAGCCUGAUGCAGCAACGCCGCGUGCGGGGUGACGGCCUUCGGGCUGUAAACCGCUUUCGCCUGUGACGAAGCGUGAGUGACGGUAAUGGGUAAAGAAGCACCGGCUAACUACGUGCCAGCAGCCGCGGUGAUACGUAGGGUGCGAGCGUUGUCCGGAUUUAUUGGGCGUAAAGGGCUCGUAGGUGGUUGAUCGCGUCGGAAGUGUAAUCUUGGGGCUUAACCCUGAGCGUGCUUUCGAUACGGGUUGACUUGAGGAAGGUAGGGGAGAAUGGAAUUCCUGGCGGAGCGGUGGAAUGCGCAGAUAUCAGGAGGAACACCAGUGGCGAAGGCGGUUCUCUGGGCCUUUCCUGACGCUGAGGAGCGAAAGCGUGGGGAGCGAACAGGCUUAGAUACCCUGGUAGUCCACGCUGUAAACGGUGGGUACUAGGUGUGGGGUCCAUUCCACGGGUUCCGUGCCGUAGCUAACGCUUUAAGUACCCCGCCUGGGGAGUACGGCCGCAAGGCUAAAACUCAAAGGAAUUGACGGGGCCCCGCACAAGCGGCGGAGCAUGCGGAUUAAUUCGAUGCAACGCGUAGAACCUUACCUGGGUUUGACAUGGAUCGGGAGUGCUCAGAGAUGGGUGUGCCUCUUUUGGGGUCGGUUCACAGGUGGUGCAUGGCUGUCGUCAGCUCGUGUCGUGAGAUGUUGGGUUAAGUCCCGCAACGAGCGCAACCCUUGUUCACUGUUGCCAGCACGUUAUGGUGGGGACUCAGUGGAGACCGCCGGGGUCAACUCGGAGGAAGGUGGGGAUGACGUCAAGUCAUCAUGCCCCUUAUGUCCAGGGCUUCACGCAUGCUACAAUGGCUGGUACAGAGAGUGGCGAGCCUGUGAGGGUGAGCGAAUCUCGGAAAGCCGGUCUCAGUUCGGAUUGGGGUCUGCAACUCGACCUCAUGAAGUCGGAGUCGCUAGUAAUCGCAGAUCAGCAACGCUGCGGUGAAUACGUUCCCGGGGCUUGUACACACCGCCCGUCAAGUCAUGAAAGUUGGUAACACCCGAAGCCGGUGGCCUAACCGUUGUGGGGGAGCCGUCGAAGGUGGGACUGGUGAUUAGGAC
rnacentral:rRNA from 1 species